rnacentral:piRNA from 1 species
UGAUAAACUGGGCUUCCUCAUAUCAAUCA